UACAGAGGUCUCAAGCGUUGUUCGGAUUUAUUGGGCGUAAAGGGCGCGUAGGCGGCGGGGUAAGUCGGGUGUGAAAUCUCAGGGCUCAACCCUGAAACUGCACUUGAUACUGCUCUGCUUGAGGACUGGAGAGGAGACUGGAAUUCACGGUGUAGCAGUGAAAUGCGUAGAUAUCGUGAGGAAGACCAGUGGCGAAGGCGGAUCUCUGGACAAAUCCUGACGCUGAGGCGGCGAAAGGCUAGGGGAGCAAACGGGG
rnacentral:rRNA from 1 species